rnacentral:rRNA from 1 species
UUCACCUACGGGAGGCAGCAGUGGGGGAUAUUGCACAAUGGGGGGAACCCUGAUGCAGCGACGCCGCGUGAGCGAAGAAGUACCUCGGUAUGUAAAGCUCUAUCAGCAGGGAAGAAAAUGACGGUACCUGACUAAGAAGCCCCGGCUAAAUACGUGCCAGCAGCCGCGGUAAUACGUAUGGGGCAAGCGUUAUCCGGAUUUACUGGGUGUAGAGGGAGCGCAGGCGGCCUGCCAAGUCUGGUGUGAAAACCCGGGGCCCAACCCCGGGCCUGCAUUGGAAACUGGGAGACUUGAGUGCAGAAGAG